rnacentral:misc_RNA from 1 species
CAACCCUCAAGCCUGGCUUGGUGUUGGGGCUCUGCGCAACGCAGUCCCUUAAAUUCAGUGGCGGACACGCUAGGUCUCCGAGCGCAGUAGUUUCUUCUCGCUUCGGGCGUCCGGCGUGGGCUUGCCUCGCACCCAACUUCUCAA